rnacentral:misc_RNA from 1 species
AAGUCGUAACAAGGUUUCCGUAGGUGAACCUGCGGAAGGAUCAUUAUUGAAUAAACCUGGCUUGGUUGAUGCUGGUCUUUUCGGAGACAUGUGCACACCUUGUCGUCUUUAUAUCUCCACCUGUGCACCUUUUGUAGACCUGGAUUCAACUUUCCGAGGAAACUCGGUUGUGAGGAAUUGCUUAAUAGGCUUUCCUUGUUAGUUUCCAGGGCUAUGUUUUCAUAUACACCUUAAGAAUGUAACAGAAUGUCAUUAUUAGGCUUAAUUGCCUUAUAAACUAUAUACAACUUUCAGCAACGGAUCUCUUGGCUCUC